AAUAUCUUUCUCUUUUCGUGUUUUUUUUUUUUUUUAUUUUAAAAGAGAAAGUUAACAAGUUACCCGCUUUAUUCAUUUUUUAUAAAAAAAUCUCAAUUAGAAAUAUGAAGGCAACAUCGCUUCAAAUUUAAAAUCUCAGAUACCAAUUAUUAAGCCCUUAACCAAUUAGUAUUUCUUUUUAUUUAGGAGAAUUUUUACUCUCGAAUCUAUGACCUAAU
rnacentral:lncRNA from 1 species